ensembl:lncRNA
CCCUGACCAGGGAUUGAACCCAUGCUCCCUGUGUGGGGAGUGGAGAGUUUUAGCCACUGGACCACCAGGGAAGUCCCAGUUCCUCUUCUUUAGCAAGGAAAUUGUGCCUAAGUGGGUAAAAUUCUCAAAAUGUAGAGGGAAUGAAAUCCUGAAAUCACUGAUGACGAGGAGGGAAAAAGGAAAAGUGUUAGUUGCUCAGUCGUGUCCGACUCUUUGCAACCCCAUGGACGGUAGCCCCGGUCCGUGGAGUUCUCCAGGCAAGGAUACUGGAGUGGGUAGCCAUUCUCUUCUCCAGGAUGAUGAAGAGGGAAAUUUAAGAAAUCUAGAAUAGGUUGCCUGGAUCUUCUGUUUUUUUCUGGAAAGUUUGGAGGAAUGGGCCUGGCCAACCCAGUCUUUCUACCUAGAAACUUCCCAGUGAGGUUUCACAGGGUAAGGAAACCCAGGUGAACCAGGCCCAGGUCCUUGUCUGUUGGAAAGUUACUCUGAGCAGCCUGUUCUCAUCUUGUGAGGUGGCCAAUGCCCCUGCUCUGGGCACGCUGGCUGGCAGGCAGCAGGGCUGCACAAACAUGCUGUCUGAUCAGGAGCGGGCCUGGAGCUGCUUGCUAAUUGCUAACGGGAACCCAGUGAGAGCUGAAAUCUCACAUCAGCCUUCAGAGUUGACUUCACUCAAGUUUCCAAAAAACUAAUGAAAAGAACUUUAAAAUCAGAAACAAAGUAGAGAUAUAGUGGACCCUCAUAUGCUUGUCUCCUGGAGUCAACAGUUCCCAGUAUGAGAACAGUGCUGAGCAUUUGACGAGAUAGUGAGUAGAGUUCCCUGUGCUAUAUGGCAGGUCCUUGUUGAUCAUCUGUUUUACAUGUAGUGUGUCUUUUAAUCCCAGACUCCUAAUUUAUCCCUUCCCUUCCUUUCCCCUUGGUAACCACAAGUUUGUUUUCUAUAUCUGUGAGUCUGUGUCUGCUUUGUAAACACGUUCAUUUCUAUCAUUUUUGUUUAGAUUCCACAUAUAAGUGAUACCAUAUGGUGUCUGCCUUUCAGACUUCACUUAGCAUGAUCAUCACAAGGCCCAUCCCGUGUUGCUGCACAUGUUAGGCCAUUGUGUAGAAACCAAACCACGCCCCCUGCUUUGGAAGACAAAGUCUUGACCGCUGGACCACCAGCAUGCCAGACCUUCUAGAACUAACACCAAAAAAAGGUGUCCUUUUCAUCAUAGCGGACUGGAAUACAAAAGUAGGAAGUCAAGAGAUACCUGGAGUAAUAGGCAAGUGUGGCCUUGGAGUACAAAAUUAAGCAGGGCAAAGGCUGACAGAGUUCUGCCAAGAGAACACACUGGUCAUAGCAAACACCCUCGUCCAACAACACAAGAGAAGACUCUACACAUGAACAUCAUCAGAUGGUUAACACCAAAAUCAAAUUGAUGAUAUUGUUUGCAGUCGAAGAUGGAGAAGCUGUAUACAGUCAAAAAAAAAAAAAAAAAAAAAAGACCAGGAGCUGACUGUGACUCAAAUCAUGAACUUAUUACAAAAAAGUGAAAAGUGAAAGUCAUUCAGUUGUGUCCAACUCUUUACGACCCCAUGAACUGUACAGUCCAUGGAAUUCUCUAGGCCAGAAUACUGGAGUGGGUAGCCUUUCCCUUCUCCAGGGGAUCUUCCCAACCCAGGGAUUGAACCCAGAUCUCCCACAUUGCAGGUGGAUUCUUUACCAGCUGAGCCACCAGGGGAGCCCAAGAAUACUGGAGUGGGUAGCCUAUCCCUUCUCCAGCGGAUCCUCCCGACCUAGGAAUUGAACCCAGGAAUCAAACCGGGAUCUCAUGCGUUGCAGGCUGAUUCUCUACCAACUGAGCUACUAGGGAAGCCCUCCUUAUUACAAAAUUCAGACUUAAAUUGAAGAAAGUAGGGAAAACCACUAGACCAUUCAGGUAUGACCUAAAUCAACUUUCUUACAAUUACAGAGUAGAAGUGACAAAUAGUUCCACGGGAUUAGAUCUGAUAGAGUGCCUGAAGAACUAUGGGCAGAAGUUUGUAACAUUAUACAGGAGGCAGUGAUCAAAACCAUCCCCAAGAAAAAGAAAUGCAAAAAGGCAAAAUGAUUGUCUGAGGAGGCCUUACUAAUAGCUGAGCAAAGAAGAGAAGUGAAAGGCAAAGGAGAAAAGAAGAGAUACACCCAUCUGAAUACACAGUUCCAAAGAACAGCAAGGAGAGGCAAGAAAGCCUUCCUCAGUGAUCAGUGCAAAGAAAUAGAGGAAAACAAAAGGAUGGGAAAGACUAGAACUCUCUCCAAGAAGAUUAGAGACACCAAGGGAACAUUUCAUAGAUGGGCACAACAAAGGACAGGAAUGGUGUGGACCUAACAGAAGCAAAAGAUAUUAAGAAGAGGUGGCAAGAAUACACAGAACUAUACAAGAAAGAGCCAAAUGACCCAGAUAACCAUGAUGGUGUGAUCAUUCACCUAGAGCCAGCCAUCCUGGAGUGUGAAGUCAAAUGGGCCUUAGGAAGCAUCACUACGAACAAAGCUAGUGGAGGUGAUGGAAUUCCAGCUGAGCUAUUUCAAAUCCUGAAAGAUGAUGCUGUGAAAGUGCUGCAUUCAGUAUGCCAACAAAUUUGGAAAACUCAGCGGUACCACGGGACUGGAAGAGGUCAGUUUUCAUUCCAGUCCCAAAGAAAGGCAAUGCCAAGGAAUGCUCAAACUAAUGCACACUUGCACUCAUCUCACGCUCUAGGACAGAGAAGAGUACUGGAGUGGGUUGCAAUGCCCUCCUCUAGGGGAAUCUUCCCAACCCAUGGGUUGAGCCUGCGUCUCUUAUGUCUCCUGUAUUAGCAGGUGGGUUCUUUACCACUCUUGCCGCCUGGGAAGCUGUGGACCACCAGGGGAGUCCUCAAAUUAUGUUCUAAAAUAAUCCAUGAGGAAAAGACUGUACAAUAAAAUAAAAACCCCAGGAGAAGCAGAGUGCAAGUGUACCCUUUUCAGCAGCAUUUGGAGUCUAAAAUUUUGAAUCAGCACAGCGCAGCCACCGGAAUCGUGCUUGGGUUUGAAUCCCAGAGCUGCAACGUGGCUUUGGAGAAGCGACUUAACCUCCCCCGUUCUUCAUUUCUAAAAUGGGGCAGUGGUGCCUCUUACAGGCUCAGCCUGAGGAUGAAAUAGGGUGCGUAGGACGCAAGCUCUCAGGAAGCCUGUGUCUGUGAUUAUUACAGGUCUUGCUAUUGUUGUUACUCUAAUGGUGUUAUUAGCAGCUCUGCACUUCCUCCCGUGGGCUCAGCAGCAUGUGCUCACCAGGGUCAUAUUCACCGGAAAUGAGGACACACG